AUGAAGAGUACAAGUGUGUUUGGGGCAAAUAUCCUGUGGCAGAUGAUCAACAAGCGUCUUGUUCUGAGCAAGCUGCGGAUGAAAGAUGCCAAGACGUUGCCUUAUGAAAACCUGAAGCGUUUCGUCAAGCUGGACAACCGGGUUUGGGUCACGAAGAACAAUACUCUCACCGCUAAGAACUGA
rnacentral:rRNA from 1 species